CACGGCGCACGGGUGCGUAACACGUGGGCAAUCUGCCCUCGGAUGGGGGAUAACCCCGCGAAAGCGGGGCUAAUACCGCAUGACAUUCCGGAGACUCCGGUCUCUGGAUUCAAAGGCCGCAAGGUCGUCUGAGGAGGAGCCCGCGCCCGAUUAGCUUGUUGGCGGGGUAACGGCCCACCAAGGCUUUGAUCGGUAGCUGGUCUGAGAGGAUGGCCAGCCACACUGGAACUGAGACACGGUCCAGACUCCUACGGGAGGCAGCAGUGGGGAAUCUUGCGCAAUGGGCGAAAGCCUGACGCAGCGACGCCGCGUGGGGGAUGAAGCUUCUCGGAGUGUAAACCCCUUUCGACCCGGACGAAUACCUCGCAAGAGGGGUGACGGUACCGGUAGAAGAAGCCCCGGCUAACUACGUGCCAGCAGCCGCGGUAAGACGUAGGGGGCCAGCGUUGUUCGGAAUUACUGGGUGUAAAGGGUUCGUAGGCGGUGUGGCAAGUCGGGAGUGAAAUUUCUGGGCUUAACUCAGAAGCUGCUUCCGAAACUGCUGUGCUAGAGUGCGGGAGAGGCGCGUGGAAUUGCAGGUGUAGCGGUGAAAUGCGUAGAUAUCUGCAGGAACACCCGUGGCGAAAGCGGCGCGCUGGACCGUUACUGACGCUGAGGAACGAAAGCUAGGGGAGCAAACAGGAUUAGAUACCCUGGUAGUCCUAGCCCUAAACGAUCAGGACUUGGGGUGCCUUCCGUUCGGAAGUCGUCCCGGAGCUAACGCGUUAAGUCCUGCACCUGGGGAGUACGGUCGCAAGACUGAAACUCAAAGGAAUUGACGGGGGCCCGCACAAGCGGUGGAACAUGUGGUUCAAUUCGA
rnacentral:rRNA from 1 species